AAGCACACCUCUCCUCCGAGAUCCCACCAUUUCCUUCUCCAAGAGCUCGGACCAGCCACCCCCCGCGGUGAUCUAAUCCUCCUCCCAGAUCCCCCAUCUCCCGAGCGUGUCCCGGCAUCCUCGCCCAGGAUGCAUGCCAGCUCUUGUUUACGCAUCGGAGUGUCCGUCGAGCGAAGGCGGCCAUCUCCCGCAUGCUCGACCCAGAGUGGGCUCGACCCCGGCGGCGAUCUGCAGCAGGGACUGGGCUCGAUCCCGCUUCGAUUCGAUUCAGGGAGAGGUGCCAGAUCCCGUCACCGCUGACUAAGGUGAGGCGCGAGCGGUCGGAGAUACAAUACAGCCCAAGUCCCACGCGGAGAAGACCGACGCCGGAGCUCCGUGUCGCCGAGUCUCUCCGUUGUGUGCGCUCGGUCGAGCCGUCGGACCUCCUUCUCCCUCUCCUCCCUUUCGUGCUCUCCUGAUGCAGAGCCGCCAUGGCUGCCUAGGAACAAGCUCAGCCACUGGAUGCUCCAUAUCCAUCCCCGCAUCAUGUUGAACUGCUGUUUAUUUCAGUUUGCCACUGACUAUAUUAUUCAUCGAGAACACAAGUAGUCUUGUGAGAUUCUUGAAGGCAGAAAAUGUGCUGAUCAAUCUAUAGAGUAAAAGUUCUGUAGCACUAUGAAUUAAUUUUAGCAAUUGAGUUGUUGUGCACGUGAAAAGAUUUAAACUGGCCAUGCUCCAAUCCCAAUUUGAUGGAUACCUAGGAACUUGCAUACGCACCGAAAGAUAUACUGGCUAUUUUAUCUUUGUCAUCGUCGCCAAGGAAAGAUAUAUCUUGUUGCAGAUGGGAUGCAUGUCCGAUAAGAUUGAGUAUUUGAGAUGCACCCGGCUCAACAUAGUUGGCUUUAUAGUUUUUGUUUGCGGGAAGAAUCUAUAGUUUCUUAUCCUUAUCUUUUAUGCAGACUACAUAUCAAUAUUUUUUCUAACGGUAAUUUUGUAGAUAUACAGUUCAUGCAAGUUUCUGAAUGUGUUUGUGUGGUGAUGAUGGGGAGCUGAAUCGAUAGUCUUGCUUGAAUUUUUUUUAUGAACUACAUGAUGCAGGCCCAUGAUCCUUGAGGUUGUAUCUUAUUGGGGUGCUAAUCUGAUUGUGUUUGAACCAGUUUGUUGAAACUGUUAUUAGUCAGAGAAGCAGUUACUGAAAUUGCUUUAGUCUGAAAAAUAGUUAACUGAAACUGUUAGUGCGUAAAUGUCUGAAACUGUUUGUCUUGUAGAUAACCGAUGUAGUCUGUGGCUAGAUGGUUAUUGCACACAAACAUUGAUAUGGAAAGUGUUGGUUUCAAACCACUCACAAUCAACAGAUCAUUUCAGUACUUCUGUUUGGUACUGUUUAGCCAUAAAAGCUUAGUUCCUUGCUAACAGUUAAGGGUUUACAUAUCUCACUCUUGGGUUUCUAUAGUUGAAUAACCAUUUCCCAUUUUUUGAAAUGGCAUACCAAGGAUUUGCUAGCAGUGAUCCAGAGAGAGAUGGCAAUGCAAUCCAUAUAUUCCUUGAAGAUGGACACCAAAUUGGAUGUGCUCAGUCAUAUGCAAAGAACAUGGGUCUUUAUGGACACAGAGCGGGAUGUCUGAGAUCUGGAGGUUGCCGUCGCAGAAAAUAGGUCCUAUGAAAAAGCACGGAGCAUUUAGUCUAUGGGAAAGACAAUCUUUCCUGCAAAGAAUGGUGGAAACCUCCAGGUUCUGUUGAUGGAAAGAGGAAAAUAGACGCUGCAAAUCCUGGUCCAGAAGAUGCUGCCAAGCUUAUAAGGUUCUAUUUAUGUUGUUGGCACAGCAUCUUAGGUGGCACCAGCAACAACGAUUAAGCAGUAUCAGUGCUAUUCGAACAACCAAAGCUAGCCAGCAAAUAGAUGGAUUUCUCAGGACUAUGGUGUGCUAGCCCAAGAAUACUGUGAACGGAGAGAUGAACUUCUUGGAUCCCUUUAUGACCUUGCAAAGCAAAUUAUAGAAGCAAAAAUAUCAGGAGUCUGGCAUCAUUUGUGAUGGAGCUUUUGAGAGAAUCAGGAUCUGCAAGCAUGCCAAUGAAAUCUAAUCUAUGGUCUCAGCUGGAAGGACUCACAGAUAUGCUACUAGAGGGAUAUAUUGGUCUAUUAACUGCCAAAUUUGAACAUGGGCCGGACCAUGGUGUAAAGCUGUUGUAAAGCUGGCUUGACGAAGGCAAGUACUACAGGGCGACGUGUGAAAUUGAGAUGUUGAUUGAACCAAAGGCUUGGGAUUGUGUAAGAUAACAAUCACCUGGAGAUAGUAUUUGUAGAACCAACCGUGGCUGUCCCUAAGUAGGUUUUGGACUUCUUUAGGAAUCUAAAUAGGACUUGGAGUCGUUGUACAAUAUAAUCUGAUUCGUAUACAGACACGCUUGACUGGCAAAUUAUCUGUAGCACCAACUGUGCCUGCUACCAAGUAGGUUUUGGACCUACGUAGGAAUCUAAAUAGGAUUUGGACU